rnacentral:rRNA from 1 species
GACGAACGCUGGCGGCGUGCUUAACACAUGCAAGUCGAACGGAAAGGCCCUGCUUUUGUGGGGUGCUCGAGUGGCGAACGGGUGAGUAACACGUGAGUAACCUGCCCUUGACUUUGGGAUAACUUCAGGAAACUGGGGCUAAUACCGGAUAGGAGCUCCCGCUGCAUGGUGGGGGUUGGAAAGUUUCGGCGGUUGGGGAUGGACUCGCGGCUUACCAGCUUGUUGGUGGGGUAGUGGCUUACCAAGGCUUUGACGGGUAGCCGGCCUGAGAGGGUGACCGGCCACAUUGGGACUGAGAUACGGCCCAGACUCCUACGGGAGGCAGCAGUGGGGAAUAUUGCACAAUGGGCGGAAGCCUGAUGCAGCAACGCCGCGUGCGGGAUGACGGCCUUCGGGUUGUAAACCGCUUUCGCCUGUGACGAAGCGUGAGUGACGGUAAUGGGUAAAGAAGCACCGGCUAACUACGUG